UACGUAGGGGGCGAGCGUUGUCCGGAAUCAUUGGGCGUAAAGCGCGUGUAGGCGGCUCGAUAAGUCCGGUGUGAAACCUUGGGGCUCAACCCCAAGCCUGCACUGGAUACUGCCGAGCUAGAGUCCGGGAGGGGAGAGCGGAAUUCCUAGUGUAGCGGUGAAAUGCGCAGAUAUUAGGAAGAACACCAGUGGCGAAGGCGGCUCUCUGGAACGGUACUGACGCUGAGACGCGAAAGCGUGGGGAGCGAACAGG
rnacentral:rRNA from 1 species